rnacentral:rRNA from 1 species
AGCAGCCGCGGUAAUUCCAGCUCCAAUAGCGUAUAUUAAAGUUGUUGCAGUUAAAAAGCUCGUAGUUGAAUUUCGGGGUUAGUAGGUUGGUCAUGCCUCUGGUAUGUACUGGUCUCACUGAUUCCUCCUUCCUGAUGAACCUUAAUGCCAUUAAUUUGGUGUUUUGGGAAUUUGGACUGUUACUUUGAAAAAAUUAGAGUGUUUAAAGCAAGCUAACGCUUGAAUACAUUAGCAUGGAAUAAUGAAAUAGGACGUUCGAUCCUAUUUUGUUGGUUUCUAGGAUUGACGUAAUGAUUAAUAGGGAUAGUUGGGGGCAUUAGUAUUCAAUUGUCAGAGGUGAAAUUCUUGGAUUUAUUGAAGACUAACUACUGCGAAAGCAUUUGCCAAGAUGUUUUCAUUAAUCAAGAACGAAAGUUAGGGAUCGAAGACGAUCAGAUACCGUCGUAGUCUUAACCAUAAACUAUGACCGACUAGGGAUCGGAUGAUGUUAAUUUUUUAUGUACUCAUUCGCGCCUUACGG